AUAAAAUUCAAAAAGAUGAAUAUGAAAAAAAUAACUAUAAUAUAAUAAAAAUAGGUCUAAAUAGUUAAAUAAUAUAAAAAGUUUGACCCAUAUUUUUUCAUAUAAAGUAAAGGGUAAAGUGGUAUUUGACAUAUUUUUUUGUCUUUUAGCUUAUUACACAUAAUCUCUAUUUCACAAAAAGUAAAAAAAGUGUCUAUUUCACAAAUUUCAAAAAAAACUACCUACUUCUCAAAUUACUUUUUAAAAAGUGUCUACUAUUCUAAUAAGCCCAAUCUUUUAUACCUAAAAUGUUUUCUU
rnacentral:sRNA from 1 species